GAUCACCUGGGAUGUGCGAAGUUCUUACCAAUUUUGAACCUACAUUAGACUAAAGGGAUUCCAAUAUUUUUAAGCGGAUGUCAUGCCUCCUUUUAAGCGUGGAAGGCAGAAGUUUAAGUGAGGUUGCCCACCUAGCAUUGCUAGGCGUCAAUAAGUAAGAGACGGCAUCUUGGGGUCACA
rnacentral:other from 1 species